rnacentral:snRNA from 13 species
UAAAAGGGCCUCUGCCGAUCAUGGCACACGGGAUGGCUAAACGGCCGUAAGUCCUGUGCGGAAUCGCAAUCAAGAGAUUUCGGAGGCAAAAUUUUUAUAUCUUGAGGCUGCUGGUGCUCGCUAUGCCCGGCGCCCUU